rnacentral:rRNA from 1 species
GACGAACGCUGGCGGCGUGCCUAAUACAUGCAAGUCGAGCGGGCCUCCGGAGGUGCUUGCACCUCCGGAAGGCCAGCGGCGGACGGGUGAGUAACACGUGGGCAACCUGCCUUUGAGGCCGGGAUAACACCGGGAAACCGGUGCUAAUACCGGACACGUCCUCUUCCGCGCCUGCGCGAGGGGAGAAAGACGGUCUUUAAUGCCGUCGCUCAACGUGGGGCCCGCGGCGCAUUAGCUGGUUGGUGGGGUAAGGGCCUACCAAGGCGACGAUGCGUUGCCGACCUGAGAGGGUGAUCGGCCACACUGGGACUGAGACACGGCCCAGACUCCUGCGGGAGGCAGCAGUAGGGAAUCAUCCGCAAUGGGCGAAAGCCUGACGGUGCAACGCCGCGUGAGUGAGGAAGGUUUUCGGAUCGUAAAGCUCUGUUGUGAGGGAAGAACAGCUUCCGGAGGAAAUGCCGGAGGUUUGCCGGUACCUCACCAGAAAGCCCCGGCUAACUACGUGCCAGCCGCCGCGGUAA